GCACCAGUGGUCUAGUGAUAAAAUAGUAUUCUGCCACAGUACAGACCCUGGUUCGAUUCCCAGAUCGUGCA
rnacentral:tRNA from 1 species